UUCCAGUACUGGUCACAAAAGGCAAGUGUUGCUAGUUACCGUCACUAAGGCCGGAACUUGCCAGAUUCAUCCAGUUCUUUGGUGCCACAAUUCCCUCCUAAAGCCCAGUGUUGUGCAGGAAACUUUUCAUCAGUGUGAACUAUUCAGUUUGCUACUCUGGGACCUUGUUGGCCUGAAUGCACACCCAUCUCAAGUAAAUGACAGACCAGGCAGAUGCUUCAGUCAAGUCAGUGCCAGCCUGUGAUCUCUCACUGAACCCCUUGAGCCUGGUGAAAGCACUUCUCAUGUUAAAGAAAAAAUGGUCAGUGGGAAUAUGCCAACCUGGGAUCUCUCAGCGGAGCCUCUGGAGAGAGAAAUGGACAGCAAGAGAGAAUGAGAAAGAGAAAAGAAACAAGAGCCAUUCAGCAGAAGAAUGAUGUCUUGUUCUGCUUUUGAACACCAAGUGUCAAUAAGAUGGCUUCAGGAAGUAUGGGUCCCCUUACAGUAAUUCUGCUCUCAUUGGUUUCAUUUACACUUUAAAAUUCAAGUUUCUACUAAGAAUUUUUCAUCCAUGCUUUAUCUGUGCUACCUACUUAAAUUGUGGUCAGCAUGUAGUUCCCAGAACAUCACCUUUUACUUAUAUGGGACCUUGUAAGGAAAGGGUGUGGUUCUGGGAACUACAUUUUUCUAUCACUUCUUCUUUAUUUUCCAUAUCCAUUUGAAAUAAUGGUAUACCUGAGGUCCCCUUAACAUUUUUAAGAUAAAAGUGGUCACCGGGGGAAAAAUACAAGCUUAGGCCUUUACAACUUAGUAACAUUUUGUUCCAAUAUAUGUCAUUAUUAUAGGAAGUAGAAUGAAAUGGAUAGUGGUUGAAAAUGAAAAAAGAUUAAGAGAAAAAAAACAAGGGAUAUUCAUCAGAAGGAGGAUGUAAGGGGGGAAAAGAGGGAGGAAUGGAAGGGAGGCAUGAAGGAAGAAAAAGAAGGAAGGAAGAAAGGAUAAAAAGCGAAGGAAAAAUGAAAAAGGAAGGAAAAGCUGAUGACUGAAUUCUCAUCAAUGGAGCUGGAUGAAUGCACUUCUCAAGUCAUUAAAAAUGGUCAUUGAGAAUAUCUGAGUCACUGCCAGCCUCAUAGCUCCCAUUGGACCCCCUGGUGAGUAAAAAAGGUGGCACCCUGCUGGGUAGGAAAGGUGGCUCUGAGUAAAAAUGGGAGAAAAUUCCAUUUUUCUAAAAAUGGGACAGAGACUAAUGUCUCUGAUAUAUGCACUGAUCCUGACUCCUCUGUUCCUUUAAAUUCCAGAUCUCCUUUACCAGUUGAGCACCAUGUGUCAAUAAGGACCAAGACCAUCCUUAAGUAUGAGUCACAUCCCAGUCAUCCUCUUCUCUUUGGCUUGAUUUAACUUUUAAAAUCCAAACUUGUGUUAGGACAUAUUCAUCAAUACCUUUACCGGUGGUGGUGAAAUCCUUAUGCUCAUCAUUCCCCAUGGUGCUUUGUAAGUAAAUGUUAUGUUUCAGAAAAAAUGUAUUUUACUAUCAGGUAUUGAAACGUUUGCAUACUGAUUUCAUACAAUGGUAAAACUGGAGUCCUCAAAAAAUCUUUAUGACUAAAGUGGUCACCAGAGGAAAAACUUCAGGAACCUUCCCUCUUUAAAAUUUGUAAUAUUUUGACCAAGUAUAUGUCAGUUCUAUGAGAAAAGGAGUGCAAUGGAUUAUGAUAGAGAAACAAAAAGGGACAAAGAAAAAGAAAAGGGGAUAUUAGCAGAAGAAAGAUGUAAUGGGGGACAUGGGGAGAUAGGAGUAACAAACAAGAAAGGAGGGAAGAAAGGAAAGAAAGAUAUAAAGGGAAGGAAAAAUAAAAAGUGCUGGAAAAACUAAUCAGACUGAUUGAAUUCUCAUCAUGAGAGCAGGGUGAAAUCAAUUCUUGCGUUGAUCCAAAAAUAAUCAGGAGAAGCCUCCAAGUCACUGACAAGCCACUGAUCUC